CGAGAGCAUGGAAGCUUGCUUCUAUAAUCUUAGUGGCGAACGGGUGAGUAACGCGUAAUCACCUGCCCUUCAGAGGGGGACAACAGUUGGAAACGACUGCUAAUACCGCAUACGUCGGCAUCGAGAAAGGUGGCCUUCAUGAAGCUAUCACUGAAGGAGGGGAUUGCGUCUGAUUAGCUAGUUGGAGGGGUAACGGCCCACCAAGGCGAUGAUCAGUAGCCGGUCUGAGAGGAUGAACGGCCACAUUGGGACUGAGACACGGCCCAGACUCCUACGGGAGGCAGCAGUGGGGAAUCUUCCGCAAUGGACGAAAGUCUGACGGAGCAACGCCGCGUGAGUGAUGACGGCCUUCGGGUUGUAAAGCUCUGUUAAUCGGGACGAAGGCCUUCUUGCGAAUAGUGAGAAGGAUUGACGGUACCGGAAUAGAAAGCCACGGCUAACUACGUGCCAGCAGCCGCGGUAAUACGUAGGUGGCAAGCGUUGUCCGGAAUUAUUGGGCGUAAAGCGCGCGCAGGCGGAUAGGUCAGUCUGUCUUAAAAGUUCGGGGCUUAACCCCGUGAUGGGAUGGAAACUGCCAAUCUAGAGUAUCGGAGAGGAAAGUGGAAUUCCUAGUGUAGCGGUGAAAUGCGUAGAUAUUAGGAAGAACACCAGUGGCGAAGGCGACUUUCUGGACGAAAACUGACGCUGAGGCGCGAAAGCCAGGGGAGCGAACGGGAUUAGAUACCCCGGUAGU
rnacentral:rRNA from 1 species